rnacentral:rRNA from 1 species
GAUGAACGCUAGCGGCAGGCUUAAUACAUGCAAGUCGAGGGGCAGCGCGGGUAGCAAUACCUGGCGGCGACCGGCAAACGGGUGCGGAACACGUACGCAACCUUCCCAAAACUGGGGAAUAGCCCUCCGAAAGGAGGAUUAAUACCCCGUAACAUAACGAAGUGGCAUCACUUUGUUAUUAUAGUUCCGACGGUUUUGGAUGGGCGUGCGCCUGAUUAGGUAGUUGGCGGGGUAACGCCCACCAAGCCUGCGAUCAGUAACUGGUGUGAGAGCACGACCAGUCACACGGGCACUGAGACACGGGCCCGACUCCUACGGGAGGCAGCAGUAAGGAUAUUGGUCAAUGGACGCAAGUCUGAACCAGCCAUGCCGCGUGAAGGAUGAAGGUCCUCUGGAUUGUAAACUUCUUUUCCAGGGGAAUAAAAUUUCGUACGAGUACGGGACUGAAGGUACCUUGGGAAUAAGCAUCGGCUAACUCCGUAGCCAGCAGCCGCGGUAAU